AAAAUACUAGUAGUUGGUCAUUUGAUAUUUUGACAAAAAAAUUGGUCAUUCGAUAUCAUCUCUGCCGGUCGGGAUUGGGGAAAUUAGAGCUUCGCAUCGUCGACGUCGGCUACGAAAAUGGCAGUGCCCAACAGCAGCAGCAUCUUCAUCGCAAAAUCAGCGUCGUCUGCGGUCUUCCCAUUGUCAUCAUGUGGAAUGAGUGGCGGCAGUAUUGACUUCGAGCCCAGAGGGAGUAGGAGGAUGGAAGCUGGGCGAUCAAAGUUGCGCCUUGUAUGUGCGGUUGGUCGCACCAAUACUAGUGGUAAUAGCAAUAGUAGCAGCAGCAGCGAUGGCAGUAGGAAGAAAGGGGUGCCAAAUUCGAAUUAUGUGGUGCCCUUGGAUAAAUCCUUCUCUUCCGCAUGCUCAUCCUGCAUCACUCGCCCCCUCGCAGAAAUCCUGCGUGAUCUCAACAAGAGGAUUCCCGACGAUAUCAUCAAACCAUCUUCCCCCGCCACCACCUUCAUCCCCUGGUACCAUGCCAACCGCAUGCUUAGCUUCUAUGCCCCUGGAUGGUGUGGAGAGAUACGCGAUGUUAUAUUCUCUGAAAAUGGUAGAGUCACUGUGGUAUACCGUGUUACCAUACGAGGAUCAGAUGGAGAGGCAUACCGCGAGUCAACUGGGACAGUUUCAUCCAGUGAUGCACCCCUGGUAGAUCCUGUUGCUGCAGCAGAGGAAUUAGCGUUUUGCAGUGCAUGUGCCCGGUUUGGUCUUGGCUUGUAUCUAUAUCAUGAUGAAUAAAUGCUAUAGACUGCAAGGAGGGGACAUUCAGCAUUUCUAGUUAUUGCUCUUUUGAGAUAUUAGAAGAUUGUAUUUAAUGUCCACCCUUCAAACUAGUGUAAAUAUCCAGCAUAAUCCAGUUUGGGUUUGUUUCACUUGCGAAGAAAGAGUUUCUUUUUGGUCGAAGAAGAAAAGAGUUUCUUAGUCGAUUAUAAGAUGGGAAGCAAUAUUUUUCAAUAAAAUAAGUGAAAUAAAAU
rnacentral:misc_RNA from 1 species